GGCGAACGCUGGCGGCGUGCCUAAUACAUGCAAGUCGAGCGCAGGAAAUCAUCCGAACCUUUCGGGGGGACGUUGAUGGAAUGAGCGGCGGACGGGUGAGUAACACGUAAAGAACCUGCCCUCAGGCCUGAGAUAACCACGAGAAAUCGGGGCUAAUACCGGAUGGGUCAUCGGACCGCAUGGUCCGAGGAUGAAAGGCGCUUCGGCGUCGCCUGGGGAUGGCUUUGCGGUGCAUUAGCUAGUUGGUGGGGUAAUGGCCCACCAAGGCGACGAUGCAUAGCCGACCUGAGAGGGGGAUCGGCCACACUGGGACUGAGACACGGCCCAGACUCCUACGGGAGGCAGCAGUAGGGAAUCUUCCACAAUGGACGAAAGUCUGAUGGAGCAACGCCGCGUGAACGAUGAAGGCCUUCGGGUCGUAAAGUUCUGUUGUAAGGGAAGAACAAGUGCCGCAGGCAAUGGCGGCACCUUGACGGUACCUUGCGAGAAAGCCACGGCUAACUACGUGCCAGCAGCCGCCGUAA
rnacentral:rRNA from 1 species